rnacentral:rRNA from 1 species
GACGGAGGGUGCAAGCGUUGUUCGGAAUUACUGGGCGUAAAGCGUACGUAGGCGGCGGGUUAAGUCGAAUGUUAAAGCCUGGGGCUCAACCCCAGAGAUGCACUCGAUACUGGCUUGCUAGAGGGUGAUAGAGGAAAGUGGAAUUCCCAGUGUAGCGGUGAAAUGCGUAGAUAUUGGGAGGAACAUCAGUAGCGAAGGCGACUUUCUGGGUCACACCUGACGCUGAGGUACGAAAGCGUGGGGAGCAAACGGG